UACAGAGACCUCAAGCGUUACUCGGAUUCACUGGGCGUAAAGGGUACGUAGGCGGCAUCGUGUGUUGGGCGUGAAAUUCUGGGGCUUAACCCCGGCGCUGCGUCCAAAACUAUGGUGCUAGAGUAUUGUAGAGAUGAGCGGAAUUUCUGGUGUAGCGGUAAAAUGCGUAGAUAUCAGAAAGAACACCAACGGCGAAGGCAGCUCAUUGGGCAAUUACUGACGCUGAGGUACGAAAGCGUGGGGAGCAAAAAGGAUUAGAUACCCUUGUAGUCCACGCUGUCAACGUUGUGCACUUGGCCUUGGGGGAUUCGACCCCCUCAGGGCCGAAGCUAACGCGUUAAGUGCACCGCCUGAGGACUACGGCCGCAAGGCUAAA
rnacentral:rRNA from 1 species